rnacentral:rRNA from 1 species
GAUGAACGUUGGCGGCGUGCCUAAUACAUGCAAGUCGAACGAAGACUGUAGUAAUACUGUCUUAGUGGCGAACGGGUGAGUAACGCGUGGGUGACCUGCCCCGAAGUGUGGGAUAACAGUCCGAAAGGAUUGCUAAUACUGCAUAAUAUCCAAGAGAUUAGAUGCUUUUGGAUUAAAGGAGUAAUUCGCUUCGGGAGGGGCCCGCGUCCCAUCAGCUAGUUGGUAAGGUAAUGGCUUACCAAGGCGAUGACGGGUAGGGGACCUGAGAGGGUGGCCCCCCACAAUGGAACUGAAACACGGUCCAUACACCUACGGGUGGCAGCAGUAGGGAAUAUUGCAAAUGGGCGAAAGCCUGAUGUAGCAACGCCGCGUGUGCGAUGAAGGUCUUCGGAUUGUAAAGCACUUUUUGGAGGGAUGAGGAAGGACAGUACCUCCAGAAUAAGCCUCGGCUAACUACGUG